rfam:Stegodyphus mimosarum contig105459, whole genome shotgun sequence.
GCCUUUGUGGUGUAAUGGUCAGCACACUGAGCCGGUAUUUCAGAGGUCCGUGGUUCGAUCCCCGGCGAAGGAA